AUGGGGGCAUCAAUGGAGACAUCAAUGGGGGUAUCAAUGGGGCAUCAAUGGUGGCAUCAAUGGGGUUAUCAAUGGGACAUUAAUGGGGGUAUCAAUGGAGCACCAAUGUGGACAUCAAUGGGGGUAUCAAUAGGGCAUCAAUGCGGCAUCAAUGGGGACACCAAUGGGGCACCAACUGGGGCACCAAUGGGCAUCAAUGGGGUAUCAAUGGCGUCCCCAUGGCAAGGGCCUCACCUCCUCCUGCAGCCCAUCCGCGUGCGACCGGAGGCUGCUCUGCUCCUUCUCCUGCACCAAUGGGGACAUUGGGUGGGGGGUGGGUCCAUGGGUGCCCCCCCCAGGUGCCACUGCCCCCAAUGGGUGCCCCCAGGGCCCACCAGGGUCCUCAUCCUGCGCCGCAGCUCCAGGUUCUGCUCCUCCAGCCCCUUCACCGCAGCCUUGGUGUCCUCCAGCUCCUCAGUGGCCGCGCGCGCUCGCUCCAGUGCCUGCUGGGUGCUAUGGGGCAUGGGGGGGCUCAGCACCAUGGGGUGUCCAUCACCAUGGGGUGCCCAUCACCAUGGGGUGCUCAGCACCAUGGGGUGUCCAUCACCAUGGGGUGUCCAUCCCCAUGGGGUGCUCAGCACCAUGGGGUGUCCAUCACCAUGGGGUGUCCAUCACCAUGGGGUGCUCAACACCAUGGGGUGUCCAUCACCAUGGGGUGUCCAUCACCAUGGGGUGUCCGUCACCAUGGGGUGUCCAUCACCAUGGGGUGCUCAGCACAAUGGGGUGUCCAUCACCAUGGGGUGUCCAUCACCAUGGGGUGCUCAGCACCAUGGGGUGUCCAUCACCAUGGGGUGUCCAUCACCAUGGGGUGCUCAGCACAGUGGGGUGUCCAUCACCAGUGGUAUAUUAUGGGAUGCCCACCCCCAUUGUGUUAGUAUGGGAUGCCCACCCCCAGUGGGUUAUUAUGGGAUGUCCAUCCCCAUUGGGUUAGUAUGGGAUGCCCACCCCAGUGGGUUAUUAUGGGAUGUCCCAGGCCCUCACCUGCGCAGCUGCCCCCGGAGCUCCUGCAGCUCCUCCCCCAGGCGCGAGUUCUGCUCCUCGCUGGCCUCGGCCUCGCGCUGCAGCCGCUGGUUGUAG
rnacentral:lncRNA from 1 species